rnacentral:tRNA from 1 species
GACUUAGUGGCUUAAUGGAUAAGGCAUCAGCCUCUAGAACUGGGAAUUGUGAGUUCACCUCCCAUUUGGGUCA